GACGAACGCUGGCGGCGUGCCUAAUACAUGCAAGUAGAACGCACAGUUUAUACCGUAGCUUGCUACACCAUAGACUGUGAGUUGCGAACGGGUGAGUAACGCGUAGGUAACCUGCCUGGUAGCGGGGGAUAACUAUUGGAAACGAUAGCUAAUACCGCAUAAUAUUAAUUAAUGCAUGAUAAUUGAUUGAAAGAUGCAACUGCAUCACUACCAGAUGGACCUGCGUUGUAUUAGCUAGUAGGUGAGGUAACGGCUCACCUAGGCGACGAUACAUAGCCGACCUAAGAGGGUGAUCGGCCACACUGGGACUGAGACACGGCCCAGACUCCUACGGGAGGCAGCAGUAGGGAAUCUUCGGCAAUGGACGAAAGUCUGACCGAGCAACGCCGCGUGAGUGAAGAAGGUUUUCGGAUCGUAAAGCUCUGUUGUAAGAGAAGAACGGGUGUGAGAGUGGAAAGUUCACACUGUGACGGUAUCUUACCAGAAAGGGACGGCUAACUACGUG
rnacentral:rRNA from 1 species